rnacentral:rRNA from 1 species
AAUAGCCUACGGGGGGCAGCAGUAGGGAAUCUUCCACAAUGGACGAAAGUCUGAUGGAGCAACGCCGCGUGAGUGAAGAAGGGUUUCGGCUCGUAAAGCUCUGUUGGUAGUGAAGAAAGAUAGAGGUAGUAACUGGCCUUUAUUUGACGGUAAUUACUUAGAAAGUCACGGCUAACUACGUGCCAGCAGCCGCGGUAAUACGUAGGUGGCAAGCGUUGUCCGGAUUUUUUUGGCGUAAAGCGAGUGCAGGCGGUGCAAUAAUGUUUGU